GACGAACGCUGGCGGCGUGCUUAACACAUGCAAGUCGUACGGUAAGGCCCUUUCGGGGGUACACGAGUGGCGAACGGGUGAGUAACACGUGAGUAACCUGCCCACAACUUUGGGAUAACGCUAGGAAACUGGUGCUAAUACUGGAUAUGUGCUCCUGCUGCAUGGUGGGGGUUGGAAAGCUCCGGCGGUUGUGGAUGGACUCGCGGCCUAUCAGCUUGUUGGUGGGGUGGUGGCCUACCAAGGCGGCGACGGGUAGCCGGCCGGAGAGGGUGACCGGCCACAUUGGGACUGAGAUACGGCCCAGACUCCUACGGGAGGCAGCAGUGGGGAAUAUUGCACAAUGGGCGCAAGCCUGAUGCAGCAACGCCGCGUGCGGGAUGACGGCCUUCGGGUUGUAAACCGCUUUCAGCAGGGACGAAGCUUUUUGUGACGGUACCUGCAGAAGAAGCACCGGCUAACUACGUG
rnacentral:rRNA from 1 species